rnacentral:rRNA from 1 species
CAGUAGCCGCGGUAAUACGUAGGUGGCAAGCGUUGUCCGGAAUUAUUGGGCGUAAAGGGCUCGCAGGCGGUUUCUUAAGUCUGAUGUGAAAGCCCCCGGCUCAACCGGGGAGGGUCAUUGGAAACUGGGAAACUUGAGUGCAGAAGAGGAGAGCGGAAUUCCACGUGUAGCGGUGAAAUGCGUAGAGAUGUGGAGGAACACCAGUGGCGAAGGCGUCUCUCUGGUCUGUAACUGACGCUGAGGAGCGAAAGCGUGGGGAGCGAACAGGAUUAGAUACCCCGCGUAGUCCCUGUCUCUUAUA